GAUUGUAGUUGGGAAGACUAUCGUGAAGAUUCAGCCUCGACAUCGCCAUGGUGAUGCUUGAGUCCGACGCCCACAUGCUCUGAAACGACGCAUGGAUUGUCUACGAUUUCUUUGUUUGUAAGCGCGCAAUCUCGCUACCUUCUGCUUCUCUAAAGAUCGAUGGCGAAUACGCAAUGCGCUGAAGCUGACUCACUACAUGAGACAGCAUUAGCUCUUCACGAAGCAUCACAAACAAUAAGGCAAAGAUACUUCUGAAAAAUUGCAUCAGGUACUUUGGCAAAUUUACGGUCAUACCUUCCGCCUGUGUUGGUUGUAAUCUGGAUUGCGCCUAAUGCGAAGAUGUCGAUCCG
rnacentral:lncRNA from 13 species